rnacentral:rRNA from 1 species
UAAUACAGAGGGUGCGAGCGUUGUCCGGAAUCACUGGGCGUAAAGGGCGCGUAGGCGGUCCGGUAAGCGUGUGGUGAAAGCUCGGGGCUCAACCCCGAGUCGGCCAUGCGAACUGCGGGACUGGAGCAUGUCAGAGGCAGGCGGAAUUCCGGGUGUAGCGGUGGAAUGCGUAGAGAUCCGGAAGAACACCGGUGGCGAAGGCGGCCUGCUGGGACAUUGCUGACGCUGAGGCGCGACAGCGUGGGGAGCAAACAGGAUUAGAUACCCUGGUAGUCCACGCCGUAAACGAUGGGCACUAGGUGCUUGGGGGAGCGACCCCCUGAGUGCCGGCGCUAACGCAUUAAGUGCCCCGCCUGGGGAGUACGGCCGCAAGGCUG